rnacentral:rRNA from 1 species
GACGAACGCUGGCGGCAGGCUUAACACAUGCAAGUCGAGCGCCCCGCAAGGGGAGCGGCGGACGGGUGAGUAACGCGUGGGGAAUCUGCCCUUUGGUGUGGGACAACCACGGGAAACUGUGGCUAAUACCGCAUGAGCCCGAGAGGGGAAAGCCGCAAGGCGCCGAGGGAUGAGCCCGCGUCGGAUUAGCUAGUUGGUAGGGUAACGGCCUACCAAGGCGAUGAUCCGUAGCUGGUCNGAGAGGAUGAUCAGCCACACUGGGACUGAGACACGGCCCAGACUCCUACGGGAGGCAGCAGUGGGGAUAUUGGACAAUGGGGGAAACCCUGAUCCAGCCAUGCCGCGUGAGUGAUGAAGGCCUUC